UCCAGGUCAGAAGAAUUCUCAUUUUUUGUAUACUCUGUUGAUUGUAACAUUUUAAUGGGUUGCAUUCAUUUCUUGUGCAGAUUGUUCUUUGAUCUGGAGUUUUCUAGUGGACUGUCUCAGUUGUUCUUGUUGUUGAAGAGUCUAGUGUGCUUGGAACUUUUCUAUCUUCCUAUUGGCAGACCGUCCCCUUUUUCUUUCUUUCUUUCUUUUUCUUUUAAGCCAGCAACGCUUCUGGAGAAUCAGUCGUCUUUCUCCCGUUGGGCUUGGUUGUUUUCUAUACCAGCUGCAUAGGAGACUCCCUUAGACUUUCCACUUUCCUUUAUUCUUUUCCUCAUUUGAAUGAAGGAUUUCCUGGAACACAUGGCAUCCUGUUUCUUGUCCUUCUCCCUUGUUUGGCUUGAACACACUCUCAAGAAUCUUUCUAAGAAAAGAGUAUGUGCCAGCUAAACAAUGUGAUUUCUUACAUGGCCGAAAAUAAUUUCAUUAUGCCCUCAAAUGGCAAACUGCAUGGCUAUCCUUCUGUGUGACCAUGGUAAUUCUUCUAAAAACCCAUCUUUUGCUCAAUCUUGUAUAUCCAACUGCCUGCUUAUCAUCCCUGUCUGUCUAAUAGGCAUCUUGUGUGUUUGGUUUGUUUUGUUUUGUGGCUUGAGAAAAAAUGCCAGGCUGCCUGCCUUCAUCACAGGGAAAGGUUAGGAAACGAUUCUGUAUACUGUCCUUCGCUUACUCUCCCUAUCCUCUCCUUUCCUUCACACUUGUCACUUUGUAAUGCUGUGCGGUAAGCCUAGAGCCUCUUGUUUAUGUUAUGGCCCAUAGCUUCCUGGGCUUCACUUCAUCUGUCAAGCAAGGCCCUAUGUAGAACCCCAAAAUAGACUGUACUAUCUUCUGAUAACUUUCUUCCCACUUUGCAUUGUCACAUAUUUAUUCCAUUUUGUACUGAAAAAUUUUUAUUUCAGAAUGCUCUGAGUUGGGGCAGGAGGUGAACUGGAAUCUUAUUUUUUUAAAUAAUAUGAAAACCUAUAUAAAUUGUCUACCUUUCUUUUGCCUGGCAGGAUGGCUGCAUCACAUUUUGCCAGUCAACUGAGAAAGGAUUUAAAUAUUGAGAUGAUUAGAGCUAAAAUUGCUGAGGAGAGAUUUCUCUCUCAGUAAGCAGAUACAAUAAAUAUGAAUGAAAAUGACACUCCAACGUUGGAAGGUAGAAAUCUUGAAUUGGAGGAGGCAUCUCAAGAGCCUAUUCCAGAAGAGAUGCGUGUGAGGCAAAGAUCAGCGAAGUCUCUCUUCUAAGUGAUCAACGAAGACAAAUGCUCCGGAAAUACCUAGAGGAAAAGCGACUAAAAAAAUUAAGAGAGAAACCUCAGUGACAACCGUUUAUAGUGGGUGUUUAUUGACCCAAUAAGCCUAUUUUUCUUUCAUCAAUACCAGCACACCAACCAAAAAAGGUAAAUUUAGUAUCAUAACUUGAUAUUCAGGAA